AUUGAACGCUGGCGGCAGGCCUAACACAUGCGAGUCGAGCGGAUGAAGGGAGCUUGCUCUGGAUUCAGCGGCGGACGGGUGAGUAAUGCCUAGGAAUCUGCCUGGUAGUGGGGGAUAACGUCCGGAAACGGGCGCUAAUACCGCAUACGUCCUGAGGGAGAAAGUGGGGGAUCUUCGGACCUCACGCUAUCAGAUGAGCCUAGGUCGGAUUAGCUAGUUGGUGGGGUAAAGGCCUACCAAGGCGACGAUCCGUAACUGGUCUGAGAGGAUGAUCAGUCACACUGGAACUGAGACACGGUCCAGACUCCUACGGGAGGCAGCAGUGGGGAAUAUUGGACAAUGGGCGAAAGCCUGAUCCAGCCAUGCCGCGUGUGUGAAGAAGGUCUUCGGAUUGUAAAGCACUUUAAGUUGGGAGGAAGGGCAGUAAGUUAAUACCUUGCUGUUUUGACGUUACCAACAGGAUAAGCACCGGCUAACUUCGUG
rnacentral:rRNA from 1 species